UGUUAAAAGAUUUAUCAAAUUCUACUGUUAAAAACUGGCAUGACUGACGGAAUAACUAGAUAAUUACAUGUGGCAUGCUAGCGUACAUAGGUCAGUUUUUAGCCGUAGAAAUAGAUGAAUUUUUAAUA
rfam:Gossypium hirsutum cultivar TM-1 chromosome 20, whole genome shotgun sequence